AUUGAACGCUGGCGGCAGGCUUAACACAUGCAAGUCGAGCGAGCGGCGGACGGGUGAGUAAUGUCUGGGAAACUGCCUGAUGGAGGGGGAUAACUACUGGAAACGGUAGCUAAUACCGCAUACCCUCAGAUGUGCCCAGACGGGAUUAGCUAGUAGGUGGGGUAAUGGCUCACCUGGGCGGCGAUCCCUAGCUGGUCUGAGAGGAUGACCAGCCACGCUGGAACGGAGACACGGUCAAGAAUCCUACGGGAGGCAGACGUGGGGAAUAGUGGACAAUGGGCGGAAGCCUGAUGCAGCCAUGCCGCGUGUGUGAAGAAGGCCUUCGGGUUGUAAAGGACUUUCAGCGAGGAGGCGGUUCUCGCAGAAGAAGCACCGGCUAACUCCGUGCCAGCAGCCGCGGUAAUUC
rnacentral:rRNA from 1 species